rnacentral:rRNA from 1 species
GACUCUCGGCAACGGAUAUCUCGGCUCACGCAUCGAUGAAGAACGUAGCAAAAUGCGAUACUUGGUGUGAAUUGCAGAAUCCCGUGAACCAUCGAGUUUUUGAACGCAAGUUGCGCCCAAAGCCUUUUGGCCGAGGGCACGCCUGCCUGGGCGUCACGC